rnacentral:rRNA from 1 species
AGUGAAUAGAUACCCUGGUAGUCCACGCCCUAAACGAUGUCAACUAGGUGUUGGGUGGGUAAAACCAUUUAGUACCGUAGCUAAACGCGUGAAAGUUGACCGCCUGGGGAGUACGGCCGCAAGGUUAAAACUCAAAGGAAUUGACGGGGACCCGCACAAGCGGUGGAUGAUGUGGAUUAAUUCGAUGCAACGCGAAAAACCUUACCUACCCUUGACAUGCCAGGAACUUGCCAGAGAUGGCUUGGUGCCCGAAGGGGAGCCUGGACACAGGUGCUGCAUGGCUGUCGUCAGCUCGUGUCGUGAGAUGUUGGGUUAAGUCCCGCAACGAGCGCAACCCUUGUCGUUAAUUGCCAUCAUUUGGUUGGGCACUUUAACGAGACUGCCGGUGAC